AACCAAUCGUGAAUGUCCAACGGGGGUUUUAAAGCUAAUGACGAAAUCUCAUUGGCUAUUGCUGAUUUCUACUAACGUGAUUCGCUCAGACGCAUCACGUGGUGUACUUUGACACUUCCGUGUUUAGCUUACCGCGGGAGCUUCCAAAAUGCCGGUACCACCGCAAAUGACAAGGGAGAGAAGAAAGCAAUUGGGCAUAGCAAGAUGUGGAAAGGGAAGGCGAUCUAUUGGAUUAGCUGUUAAAACACCAGCAAGCAGCACAUCUGAUCUAUGGAAGGGAGAUUUGGAGGUACCUGGUCAGGUCUUGGUCAGCCUUCAAAUCCCAGAUGUGGAGACUGCAGGGAUACCUCACAGAGAAGACACUAAAGGGUCAUCUCUCAUUCAUCGAGUGGACUCAUUGGUUUGCGAAUUACCACAAAGAUGCUCCCAUAGGCAGAUUGCUGCAUGGCAUGCACCGCUUAUUCAAAUUGAAGAGGUUGAAGCAGUCUUCCUUGUGGUCACUUGCCAUAACAAUGUCAUGUGUUUUAUGAAAACACCAUCAGUAACAUU
ensembl:lncRNA